CUGACUGCUAUCGGAUUGAUACUAAGCCAUGCGAGUCAUUGUAGCAAUACAAGGCAGACGGCUCAGUAACGCGUAGUCAACCUAACCUAUGGACGGGAAUAACCUCGGGAAACUGAGAAUAAUGCCCGAUAGAACACUAUACCUGGAAUGGUUUGUGUUCCAAAUGAUUUAUCGCCGUAGGAUGGGACUGCGGCCUAUCAGUUUGUUGGUGAGGUAAUGGCCCACCAAGACUAUUACAGGUACGGGCUCUGAGAGGAGUAGCCCGGAGAUGGGUACUGAGACACGGACCCAGGCCCUAUGGGGCGCAGCAGGCGAGAAAACUUUGCAAUGUGCGAAAGCACGACAAGGUUAAUCCGAGUGGUUUCUGCUAAAGGAACCUUUUGUCGGUCCUAGAAACACCGAUGAAUAAGGGGUGGGCAAGUUCUGGUGUCAGCCGCCGCGGUAAAACCAGCACCUCAAGUGGUCAGGAUGAUUAUUGGGCCUAAAGCAUCCGUAGCCGGCGCUAUAAGUUUUCGGUUAAAUCUGUACGCUCAACGUACAGGCUGCCGGGAAUACUGUAGCGCUAGGGAGUGGGAGAGGUAGACGGUACUCGGUAGGAAGGGGUAAAAUCCUUUGAUCUAUUGAUGACCACCUGUGGCGAAGGCGGUCUACCAGAACACGUCCGACGGUGAGGGAUGAAAGCUGGGGGGAGCAAACCGGAUUAGAUACCCGGGUAGUCCCAGCUGUAAACUAUGCAAACUCAGUGAUGCAUUGGCUUGUGGCCAAUGCAGUGCUGCAAGGGAAGCCGUUAAGCUUGCCGCCUGGGGAAGUACGUACGC
rnacentral:rRNA from 1 species